GGGGAUUUAGCUCAGCGGCAUAAGCACCUGCCUUGCAAGCAGGUGGUCGUGAGUUCAAUUCCCG
rnacentral:tRNA from 1 species